ensembl:lncRNA
UAUUGAUUCAAAGACAUGUGGCUACUAAAGCUGGAGGCCAAGGACUGGCCAGUCCUUGAGCAAGAAGCCAGGCUCACUGGGAGGAGAGAAGGAGGCCCUUCCACUCAGAGGGCUGACCUUGAGCCAGGCAACGUGCCUGGGCUGCCCUGCCAACAGUGCCAUCAGUAGAUCCUCCCCUGACCUUGCAGAUGAAUAUCUUUAUGCUGACAUUGCAGGUGUGGGACUUAGAGAAGUCAGGUGAUUCGCCAAAGGUCUCCCUGCUUCUGAGUGGCAGGGCUGGGAACAGCAAGAGUCUGUCUGACCACGCAGGAAGGGGCCGGGUCACAGAGGAUGUGAGUGUGGUCCCCAGAGCGUGCAUCCAGGCCAGAGAGCACAGGACAUGCCGUGACCUCCCUGCGGAAGAGAUGAGUAAUAAAGCGCAACGGCUUGCCCAAGGCACCAUGGAAAAAGGCGUCCAUCAUCUUAAUGGAAAACAAAGUCCCGGGAACUUUCCAGUAAGUUCAGAGAGUUUCUGGCUCGGUGACGUGACUCCUGUGAGAACAGGCUCUGUGGUGCCCUCAGCAUUUGAGGCAGCUUCCCAGGUGGUGCUAGUGAUGAAGAACCUGGCUGUCAAUGCAGGAGACAUAAGAGACGUGGGUUUGAUCCCUGGGUCAAGAUGACCCCCUGGAGGGCAUGGUAACCCAGUCCAGUACUCUUGCUUGGAGAAUCCCAUGGACAGAGGAGCCAGGUGGCUCUUCUGAAAUUGCAGAGUUGGACACAACUGAAACGAUUUAACAUGAAGACUCAAAAUGCUGUGGAGAGCAUGAGUGAAGGAAUGGGUGGGUUGGAAGAUGGGCCAGUUGGAACAUCAGAUUUCCCAAGAAAGGGAGUGUUACACCCACAAAAUAUGUUUCAGAAGAAUCUAGGCUGUAAAAGAUAAAAACACUAUAAAACCGAUUGAAAAAACCCAUAAAACCUAUUUAAAAUGCUAUAAAACCAAUGGAUGAAAAGAGAGGAGAAUAUUUUCAAGAUCUUGGAGGAUCCUCCCAAGCCAGACACAAAAUGCAAAAGCUAUAAAAUAAAAGGUUGAUAGAUUUGACUCCA